rnacentral:rRNA from 1 species
GCCUACGGGGGGCAGCAGUGGGGAAUAUUGCACAAUGGGGGAAACCCUGAUGCAGCGACGCCGCGCGAGUGAAGAAGUAUUUCGGUAUGUAAAGCUCUAUCAGCAGGGAAGAAAAUGACGGUACCUGACUAAGAAGCCCCGGCUAACUACGUGCCAGCAGCCGCGGUAAUACGUAGGGGGCAAGCGUUAUCCGGAUUUACUGGGUGUAAAGGGAGCGUAGACGGUAGAGCAAGUCUGAAGUGAAAGCCCGCGGCUCAACUGC